rfam:Dipodomys ordii contig_12798, whole genome shotgun sequence.
GGGAAGGUGGCUCAGUGGUAGAGCGCUUGCCUUUUAUGCAUGAAGCCCUGAGUUUGAUUCCUCACCA